CGUACCGGAAGUCGGUGCGCCAACCCGCAAGGGAGGUAGCCGCCUAUGGUAUGACUGGUGACUGGGGUG
rnacentral:rRNA from 1 species